rnacentral:rRNA from 12 species
UUCAGCGACGCCCGAGUGCGAGUGGCUGAACCCAUCUGAUCUUGGAAGCUAAGCAGGGCGUGCCUGGUCAGUACUUGGAUGGAAGACCACUUGGAAGACCAGGUUGUGUCAGGAA